GCGAGUGAAGCGGCAAAGCUCAAAUUUGAAAUCUGGUACCUUUGGUGCCCGAGUUGUAAUUUGGAGAGUACCACUUUGGGACUGUACUUUGCCUAUGUUCCUUGGAACAGGACGUCAUGGAGGGUGAGAAUCCCGUGUGGCGAGGGUGUCAGUUCUUUGUAAAGGGUGCUCGAAGAGUCGAGUUGUUUGGGAAUGCAGCUCUAAGUGGGUGGUAAAUUCCAUCUAAAGCUAAAUACAGGCGAGAGACCGAUAGCGAACAAGUACAGUGAUGGAAAGAUGAAAAGAACUUUGAAAAGAGAGUGAAAAAGUACGUGAAAUUGUUGAAAGGGAAGGGCAUUUGAUCAGACAUGGUGUUUUGCGCCCCUUGCCUCUCGUGGGCUUGGGACUCUCGCAGCUCACUGGGCCAGCAUCGGUUUUGGCGGCCGGAAAAAACCUAGGGAAUGUGGCUCUGCGCCUCGGUGUAGAGUGUUAUAGCCCUGGGGAAUACGGCCAGCCGGGACCGAGGACUGCGAUACUUGUUAUCUAGGAUGCUGGCAUAAUGGUUAUAUGCCGCCCGUC
rnacentral:rRNA from 1 species